rnacentral:rRNA from 1 species
CUACGGGUGGCAGCAGUGGGGAAUAUUGGACAAUGGGGGCAACCCUGAUCCAGCCAUGCCGCGUGUGUGAAGAAGGCCUUUUGGUUGUAAAGCACUUUAAGCAGGGAGGAGAGGCUAAUGGUUAAUACCCAUUAGAUUAGACGUUACCUGCAGAAUAAGCACCGGCUAACUCUGUGCCAGCAGCCGCGGUAAUACAGAGGGUGCGAGCGUUAAUCGAAAUUACUGGGCGUAAAGCGAGUGUAGGUGGCUCAUUAAGUCACAUGUGAAAUCCCCGGGCUUAACCUGGGAACUGCAUGUGAUACUGGUGGUGCUAGAAUAUGUGAGAGGGAAGUAGAAUUCCAGGUGUAGCGGUGAAAUGCGUAGAGAUCUGGAGGAAUACCGAUGGCGAAGGCAGCUUCCUGGCAUAAUAUUGACACUGAGAUUCGAAAGCGUGGGUAGCAAACAGGAUUAGAUACCCUUGUAGUC